UAUCAAUCCUCAUCUAACUCUCAGCCAGAAAGCCAAUAAGCAUAUUUCCCAAAAUGUCAAACUAUUUCUGUAAGCAUGCCAACAAUUAAGCAUACACUGUGUUAUGUGACAGCUGCAACAUUAACGCUAAAAGUGAGAACAUGAGAAGUUGUAGCAAGACCCAAUACCUCCUGAAUGGCUGCCAAUGUGCAACUAAAAGAUUACUGUGCCAAAAUGAAAAUGUGCAUUGGAAGAAUUAAUUUCCUGUCUGAAAUAUACUUCAAAACAAAACUAGCUACAUCGGUUAUGCUGUUUUGUAAACAUUACAAAUCUACAGGCCAUAUACUUAAAAAAAAUAUUUUUAUUGGUAAGAGGCCUGUCUGUUGUAGUCCCUUUCUCUCACUCAACACCUUGUAUGCUUAGGUGUUAGCAUGAAGCUAGAGCUGAAGAUCUACUGAGGACAGAUGGAUGAUUUUAAUGCUACAGUUCUUAUUGCUAAACAUGUACACUAGUCAAUGUGCCAAUCUCUUUCCAUCUCCAAAAUUGUAAAGUCAAACAGAAGAAUCCAAAACACAGUGGCACCAUCAUCUUAUAGAUAAACGCCCAUGUUAGUGGAAUAAGUGUUAACUGUCUGCUGUAUGGUUAUAUCAUAAAUAUCAGCGAAUACAGGAAGGAACAUAAGGCAGUACAUGCUGUUCACACUGUUUUUCUACAUGUGUAUGCUGUUUAGGGUUCCAGUAGUUCAUCUCCAUCAUUUUCUGCUAUCCUGUGGGUUAGAUUUUCUUUAGUUAUUCUGUUGGUUUACCUUGCUAGGCAAUGACAAAAAUGAGAAAUCGUCUCCAAAUUUUCAACUGAAAGAGCGAAUGCAUUUUGCAGUUAUUUUUGUCUAUGUCUAAUACUACAUUUUCCUGUGUGUGAUUUCUAAAUCAUGUUGAUCCCACACUAACAGGGUGCUGCCACUGAAGCUGAUAUAAAACAGUUUUGGACUUUAAUCGUCACAACCCUCUCAAUGACUUGUCUCCUCCUGUAACGAGUCCAAUACCAACUCCUCCAAAUCCACCCACGGCUGAGCUAUGAGCUCAGUAUUUAUUUUUUUGGUUUGUUUAUCCCUUUAAUCCAAGCUGUUACAUUGGCAGGCGACAACAAAUUAGGCGAGAUAUCAGUCAUCAGCCCGUCGACACGCCAUCAGGGGGCCACCUAACACCGUGUUGCGAGUGUUUGCAAGGUAGUGAAAGUGUUUUUGCUGUCCUACCUUUUCUCCCGUCCCACGUCAGCGGUACAGCAGGCGAAACCCAGCCAUUAGACAUUUCCGAUGGUGCGGUUACAAAAGAUGAACACAAACACACACAUGCUUCUUAUUAUAGCUGCUUUCCAAGAGCAUCGAGCAGGUGAACGAGAAAGAUAUUGCAUUUGUUAAAAAGGGGUACGUCAACAUUUUGGGGGGGCAAUUUUUGCCUCUCAUUUUUCCUUGCCAUUGAAACUAAGGUUGAAAGCAAGCUUGUUUUCAAUGAGUACAAUUGGCCAUCAAAUGAGCAGAUCCAUCAGUGCUUGAAAGCAAAUGGCAAGAAACAACAAAGCAACUUUGAUGGUCUGGCAGGGAAUGAAUGGAACUGGGCCAGUAUAUAAACUGAGAGGCUGAUGAGGUGUGGGAGUGGGAACAGGUGUGUAGAUGGCUGGGGCAGUCAGGUGAUGGGGAAAGGAGGGAAAGUCUAAAUCUGGUGAUGGAUGAAGAGGCCUAAGGAAUAGGGAAUGUGGCUGGAGAGGAGGGAGAGAGAUAUGUUGUUUUCUAUCAUUAUGAAUAUAUUGAAUCCUUAUUUUGGGAUUUUUAACUGUUAUAGACCAGUGGUUGUCUUUUUGGCUUGUGAUCCCCUAAAAGAGUACUCUCUACCAAUUUAGCUUUACACUCCUUUAACAUUGUUGGACUCACAAUAGACAGUUAAAAAACAAACAUCUAAAUCGAUGCAGCAGAAUCAGACAUAUUGUCUAUUUUGUUACACGUAUUGUAUGUAUGUCUGGUGAGCCAAAGAAAAAUUUCCACCUUGGUGGACAUUAAAGAUUUAUUCUAUUCUAUUCUAUUCUAUUCUUCUUCUCCCUAAGAUUUAUCUUGUGACCCUUACUGGCGUCUCUACCCCCUGGUUGGCAACCACUGUAAUAGACUAAAUAAUGAAUCCAUUGAUCUAAAAAAUGAUCAACUGAUUAAAUAAUCAUGAUAAUAAUUUUUAAAACAUUUUUCAGCCAAAUGUGGCAGGUGAAAAAGGAGACUACAACACCAAAAAUGUUGACGUAUCCCUUAAAGUUUGACCAACGUGAACAAAGAGUAAGCUUACAUUACUUUUCCGUGGUGCUAGCCGAUAAAAAAAAAAAAAGAGAACAUCUGUUACUUUGCUGCAAGCUAAAUUCAGAAGGUGCAAACGCGCAACAGAAGCAGCAGCAUCGGUGUUCAUAUGGUGCAACGCGCUCAAGUUACGGAGUCAAUUGGUUGCUAAUCCUACUUCAUAUGGUGCAAAUAUGAAACACACAUGUACUUAUGGUGCAAUAAGGGCAGAUUGUCUCUUUAAAUUCUAUGGUGCAUCUUGAGUACUGCCUUCAGUUGCCGGCCAAGGCUGUGCCAAAGGCUCCGUCCAAAUGGACAACUGCUCUUCCUGUCCUGCAAGAGCUAUGCAAGUCUCCAACGCAAGGAGAUGUGCUUAGUGUACAUGCUCACAACACGCAUACACACACACACACACACACACACACACACACACACACAUGGCAUCAGUAAAAACCUACUCCUAAAUGUUUCUUCUAUUUUCAAAAACUAGGUGAUCCAGUAAGUUACUGUCCUACCCGAUGCUAAUAAUAAACAUUAUAUUGCUUUAAUUUUA